UUAAGCAUAUCAUUAAGCGGUGGAAAAGAAACUAACCAGGAUUCCCCUAGUAACGGCGAGCGAACCGGGAAUAGCCCAACUUGAAAAUCUCCCCUUGGAGAAUUGUAGUCUACAGAAGCGCCCUCAUGGGCUGGCGGAACUCAAGUCGGAUCGAAUGCCGCGUCAGAGAGGGUGAUAACCCCGUCGGUUCCUGCCUAGUCCUCUCACGAGGUGCUUUCCACGAGUCGGGUUGUUUGGGAAUGCAGCCCUAAUUUGGAGGUAAAUCCCUUCUAAGGCUAAAUACUGCUGAGAGACCGAUAGCGAACAAGUACCGUGAGGGAAAGAUGAAAAGAACUUUGAAAAGAGAGUUAAAAGUGCUUGAAAUUGUUGAGAGGGAAGCGAUUAGCGCUUGUGUGUGCCCCCAGGCUUAAGUGUGCCUAACGGCCCAUUGAAUGUGCUGGGUGCUGGUCAGAGUGGGUUGUCUUGGCGGGAAAACAGUUGGGUCCACCCCGGUAACCCGGCCGAUGCCGCCGAGAUGACCAAGGCGUGAAGGUUGCUUUGUCCUUCGGGAUCCGCAUCCUAAAGACUCUGGCAGAAAAGCGUUAAUCGACCCGUCUUGAAACACGG
rnacentral:ncRNA from 1 species